GGCCUCAUAGAUGUCUUCUUUUGUGAAGUGUCUGUUCAUAUCCUUUGCCCACUUUUGAAUGGGCUUGUUUGUUUUUUUCUUGUAAAUCUGUUUUAGUUCUUUGUAUAUUCUGGAUAUCAACCUUUUGUCAGAUGCGUAUAUUGCAAAAAUUUUUUA